rnacentral:rRNA from 1 species
CUCCGGGUGAUCCCGCCGGACCCGACUGCUAUCGGAUUGAGAUUUAGCCAUGCGAGUCGAACGUUCCCCUGUUGCGGGGAGCGUGGCGUACGGCUCAGUAACACGUAGUCAACCUGCCCUGAAGACAAGGACAACCCCGGGAAACUGGGAUUAAUCCUUGAUAGGCCAUCUCAUCUGGAAGGAGAGAUGGCUUAAAGGGGUGCGAGAGCUUCUUUCUUGUACCCGCUUCAGGAUGGGACUGCGGCCGAUCAGGCUGUUGGUGGGGUAAUGGCCCACCAAACCUGUAACCGGUACGGGCCUUGAGAGAGGGGGCCCGGAGAUGGACACUGAGAGAAGGGUCCAGGUCCUACGGGGCGCAGCAGGCGCGAAACCUUCACAAUGCGCGAAAGCGUGAUGAGGUUAAUCCGAGUGGUCCCCGCUGAGGGGAUCUUUUCUUGGCUCUAAAACGGCCAGGGAAUAAGGGGAGGGCAAGUCUGGUGUCAGCCGCCGCGGUAAUACCAGCACCUCGAGUGGUCAGGAGGUUUAUUGGGCCUAAAGCAUCCGUAGCCGGCUACGCAAGUCUCCGGUUAAAUCCAGCUGCUCAACAGAUGGGCUGCCGGAGAUACUACAUAGCUAGGGAGCGGGAGAGGUAGACGGUAUUCUGUGGGUAGGGGUAAAAUCCACUGAUCCAUAGAGGACCACCAGUGGCGAAGGCGGUCUACCAGAACGCGUUCGACGGUGAGGGAUGAAAGCUGGGGGAGCAAACCGGAUUAGAUACCCGGGUAGUCCCAGCUGUAAACGAUGCAAACUCGGUGAUGCAUUGGCUUAUGGCCAAUGCAGUGCCGCAGGGAAGCCGUUAAGUUUGCCGCCUGGGACGUACGGACGCAAGUCUGAAACUUAAAGGAAUUGGCGGGGGAGCA